CAGUCGCCGCGGGAAUACGUAGGUGGCAAGCGUUGUCCGGAUUUACUGGGCGUAAAGCGCGCGCAGGCGGUGGGUUAAGUAGGAAGUGAAAGGUCGGAGCUCAACUCCAACAUUGCUUCCUAUACUGGCUCACUUGAGUCCCGGAGAGGAAAGCGGAACGACACGUGUAGCGGUGAAAUGCGUUGAUAUGUGUCGGAACACCAACGGCGAAGGCGGGUCUCUGGACAGUAUCUGACGCUGGGGCACGAAGGCCAGGGGAGCGAACGGGAUUAGAUACCCCGGUAGUCCCUGUCUCUUAUAC
rnacentral:rRNA from 1 species